GCGCGGGGGCUGCUGGGAAGUCGACGUUCGGCGCCCAAUCAGCGGAAGCGCGCCGGACCCUAUGAGGCAGGGUGAGAGCGAGGAGGGCGGGGCGGAGCGAGCUUCCCUGUGGAGGCGGCCGCCAACGUGAGGCGAAUGGCUCAGGCUUCUACACCACAUUACCAUCACCCGGCCCGAAGGCCACUUUCCCCUCCAGGAAGAGCUCUCAGCUUCUCGGAGCCAGGCUUCCCAGUGACGUCGUUCCCAGCACUUCCUGUUUCCGCUCGCAGUCUUCCACGCACCUCCGGAUCUGCCGUUUCUCCCCGGCUCCUACCUGCUGCUGGUCAAGUGAGCCGGCCGCCGCAGGGAGGAGGCAGCAGCAGGGAGUUCUGUCAAUCAUCAUGGGGAUCCGAGGGCUAAUGAGCUUUGUGGAAGAUUAUAAUAAUGAAUUCUUCAUUGAUUUGAAAUUGCGGAACACAAAAAUUAUCAUUGAUGGCUAUUCUCUUUUCCACCGACUUUGCUUCAAUUCUGACUUGGAGCUCAGGUAUGGAGGGGACUAUGAUUCAUUUGCAGAUGUCGUACAGAAUUUCUUUGAAUCACUGUUUGCUUGUCAUAUUUGUCCAUAUGUUGUACUAGAUGGAGGAUGUGACAUUUCAGAUAAAAAGCUGACAACUUUGAAGGAUCGAGCUAAAGAGAAGAUCCAAGCUGCCCGUUCCCUUUCUCUUGGUGGGGGUGGGAACGUGUGUCCCUUGCUCAUCCGAGAAGUGUUCAUACAGGUUUUGAUGAGGCUUAAGGUGUGUUUUGUCCAGAGCUUUGCAGAAGCAGAUCGGGACAUUAUGACACUUGCCAAUCAUUGGAAUUGUCCUGUGCUAUCAUCAGAUAGUGAUUUCUGCAUUUUUGACCUGAAAAGUGGGUUUUGCUCACUGAAUAGCUUUCAGUGGAGAAAUCUGAACACUAUUAAGGAUACACAAGAUUACUAUAUUCCUGCCAGAAGCUUUUCCCUUGAUGCAUUCUGCCAUUACUUCAACAACAUGAACAGAGCUCUACUGCCUCUCUUUGCGGUGCUAUGUGGAAACGACCAUGUUAAUCUGCCCAUCAUGGAGACUUUCAUAAGUAAAGUACAUCUACCCCUUAGUUCUAAGGGGAGGAGACAUCACCGAGUUCUGGGACUUCUGAACUGGUUGUCUCAUUUUGAUGACCCCAUGGAAGCACUAGAUAAUGUUCUGAAGUCUCUCCCCAAAAAGAAUCGAGAAAAUGUUAAGGAACUUCUCUGCUGCUCCAUGGAGGAGUACCAGCAGUCCCCGGUGAAGCUGCAGGACUUCUUCCAGUAUGGUACUUACAUCUGUACGGACGCUUCAGAUCUGGGUUUACCAGAGUGGAUACUAAGAGCUCUGGCCAAAGGCCAGCUACCACCUUUCAUCAGUGAUGCUUUGGUGCUCCGAAGGACCUUUCUUCACACACAGGUCGAAAGUAUGCAGCGACCAAAUGCCCACAGAAUAUCUCAGCCCAUCCGGCAAAUCAUCUAUGGACUCCUUUUGAAUGCCCCGUCACACCCACAAGAUAGAUCCCAGAAUACAUUGCCUUCCCAGCUUCUGGCUUUCAAUGAAGUGGAAAGAAUUAGUACAAAUAUCAAAACAUCAACUGUUUAUGCAAAACAACUGCUCAAGGAUCAUUGUGACUUGAGCAAAUUGGCUGAGCUCCCCUUGGCUAGGCGGCAGAUGCUUCUCUUAGAAGCCCUGAAGGUCAAACAGGUUGCCCUGGAGUCCGUCCCUACCUCUCUGAAGUUACCCAUUGCUGUGACCUGUUACUGGUUGCAGUCCACAGAGGCCAAGGCAAAGCUCCAUCAUGUGCAGGCCCUGCUGCUGGGGAUGCUGAGGGAGCCCUUACAUGCCAUCAUCAACAGCCCUGGAAAUGUGGACCCCGCACCCAGGCAGGCUCAGUGCCUUGCUCCCCGCUAUUUGUGAAAGGUAAUGAAGAUCCACAGAGAGGUGGUGCCAAGAUGUUAUAUGAAGAAUUACAACAGGUGAAGGCACCCAUGCGACCUGGUCCAAGACUGGAUUUAGACACAGCACACGUCUUCUGCCAGUGGCAAUCCUGUCUCCAGAUGGGGUUGUAUCUCAACCAGCUGCUGUCCACUCCUCUGCCAGAGCCAAACCUAACUUGGUUAUACAACGGAAGCCUGGUCCAUGGACUCUGCCAGCGACUGCCAGCAUCCAGUUCUGUCGAAAGCCUCCUGAGUAUAUGUCCUGAGGCAAAGCAACUUUAUGAACAUCUGUUCAAUGCCGCAAGAUCAUAUGCCUCAGCUGAAUUGUUCUUACCAAAAACUAAAUCAAAGUCAAAAAAAAGGAGGCAGAAGAAAAAGGUUGCCAGCCUGAGAACCGCUGCAAACACCAGACACUGGUAUGAGGGAAGCAACCGGUUUGGUCUGUUGAUGCUUGAAAGCUUGGAGGAGCAUGGAGAGAACUCAGAGCUUGAAUAAACAGUCUGUAGUACACAAGAUUUAUAGUUCUAACUUUUAAAAUGUCUCUUACCUCCCUUGAAGCUAAUUUUUCUUUAGGACUAGCCUAUUUUAGGAUAAACUUUAUAAGAGAUCAUCUGAAUUCUAAGAUAUUUUGCACUGUACUUUUAAUACAGCCUGAUUUAAGGAA